UACGGAGGAUCCAAGCGUUAUCCGGAUUUACUGGGUUUAAAGGGUGCGUAGGCGGAAUGGUAAGUCAGUGGUGAAAUCCUGCAGCUUAACUGCAGAACUGCCAUUGAUACUGCCAAUCUAGAGUAUAUUUGAAGUGGGCGGAAUGUGUUAUGUAGCGGUGAAAUGCUUAGAUAUAACACAGAACACCAAUUGCGAAGGCAGCUCACUAAACUAUAACUGACGCUGAGGCACGAAAGCGUGGGGAG
rnacentral:rRNA from 1 species